GGUAGUGUGGCUGAGCGGUCUAAGGUGCUGGAUUAAGGCUCCAGUCUUAAUAAAGGCGUGGGUACAAAUCCCACCACUGCCA
rnacentral:tRNA from 1 species